rnacentral:rRNA from 1 species
UACGGAGGAUGCAAGCGUUAUCCGGAAUGAUUGGGCGUAAAGCGUCCGCAGGUGGCUGUGUAAGUCUGCUGUCAAAGAGCGAAGCUCAACUUCGUAAAGGCAGUGGAAACUACACGGCUAGAGUGCGUUCGGGGCAGAGGGAAUUCCUGGUGUAGCGGUGAAAUGCGUAGAGAUCAGGAAGAACACCCGUGGCGAAGGCGGUUCUCUGGGGACGGUACUGACGCUGAGACGCGAAAGCGUGGGGAGCAAACAGG